GACGUAGGGCGCGAGCGUUGUCCGGAUUUAUUGGGCGUAAAGAGCUCGUAGGCGGCUUGUCGCGUCGACUGUGAAAUCCCGCGGCUCAACUGCGGGUCUGCAGUCGAUACGGGCAGGCUAGAGUUCGGUAGGGGAGACUGGAAUUCCUGGUGUAGCGGUGAAAUGCGCAGAUAUCAGGAGGAACACCGGUGGCGAAGGCGGGUCUCUGGGCCGUAACCGACGCUGAGGAGCGAAAGCGUGGGGAGCGAACAGG
rnacentral:rRNA from 1 species